rnacentral:lncRNA from 1 species
GGGAGGAAGAGCACCAAGGGGCCCGGGAUAUAAAGUAUCUGAAUCUGUGAGAAAUGUCACGAUGAAUCCCCUUAUGCAGCUGGGUGAGAAAGUCUCACAGCCUGCAAGAAAUAAAUUAAAUUGUCCUGAGUAAGAGACGAGCAGCUCGACUAUGGGGAUGAAUCGGGGAAGGUGGAUUGAGCUGAGAACCAGGCUGAGAAGAGGCACGCGCAGGGCCAUCUACUACUCCCUCUACACAUAUACAUCUCCUAAACAGCAGUUUAGGAACAUUUGCUGCUACUUGAGCAUGCUUCCUAGAAGUCUCAAAGUCUACCUUCCGAAGAAGAUCCCUGUAGAAGAAGGAUUCAAGACCAUUCAAGACCAAUUCUACAUAAAUGUAAGAAACCACUAUAAUUUUUAGUACAGAACAGUUGCUAACUUGCAUGAAAUUUGUUAAUCAGG